CGGGUGAGUAAUACAUCGGAACGUACCCAGUAGUGGGGGAUAGCUCGGCGAAAGCCGGAUUAAUACCGCAUACGACCUAUGGGUGAAAGCGGGGGAUCGCAAGACCUCGCGCUAUUGGAGCGGCCGAUAUCAGAUUAGGUAGUUGGUGGGGUAAAAGCCUACCAAGCCGACGAUCUGUAGCUGGUCUGAGAGGACGACCAGCCACACUGGGACUGAGACACGGCCCAG
rnacentral:rRNA from 1 species